CAGUAUGUAAUCUCAUUAAAAAAAUAAAGAUAUUUUUAAAAACAUUUUUUUCCAUGUACAGCUUCCUCCUAUAUUAAUACUUUACUUUAGACAUAAGUAUUAAUAUCCUUAACUCGCCAUCCGUGGAACUUUCGAAGCAAAAGAAUUCCGUUACUUAUUUAAUAUGAAUGAAUUCUGCGACGAUUCGCGACCCUAUCUAAUUCUUUGCUCAUAAGACUUUCAAAGACGUUCUUAUCUUCUCUUCGUCUGCAUAUUUUAUUUUUAUUCUUAUUGUAUACCGCACAUUACGCUUACGCUUACUAAUCAAUUUUCUUUAUCUCUUGUCUCCAGGUCAAACAAUACUGGCACAGUGACGUUGCAAAUUUAGAUAAAUUUUCUAUGUAUUACAAAAUAAGCAAACCUAUUGUGUUUCCUCUCUGUUUAGUUCUAUCUCUCAACUUCCUCGUCUCUCUUAUGUACACACGUACGCCAACAGGAAGCUGUGAUAGCUCUUGACAAGCACGUGACGUUUGCGGCCGUCCCGCUGCCGAGCAUGUAAUUAUCGCAUACCGCGUAGGCAGCUAGUUGCAUUGCUAUCGGCUGUUCUUACUCCCAAUGCAUUAAGAGUAGUUCGAUUGUAUUAGAACGCCUGAAAUUAAAUGUAUCUUUUUGGUGUGCCGGCGUAUCAUCUGAGAUUUAACGAAUUUUGUAACAAAGUCAUAAUCACAGUCGCUAAAAUAUGAUAUUAGCAAUAACAACUUUAAUAAAAAUCUCCGAUUAAAUCCACCGUAAUAUAUAAUUUAAUUAAAUGACACACUUUUCAUGUAUGUAUUGUGAUAAAAAUGUAACUAAUCAACAAAUGAAAUUGUAAUUUUUUUAUUUUGUUAUGCGCGUUUCAGGAAAAGUUUACUGCACCUUUCAAUAAUGCCGACAUGUAUGACACAGAAUUUAUUAAACAUAUUUUCAAGUUACACUUUACAAAAAUAAAUAAAUAUUCGCUACAUGUGCGAGAGGUGUAUUUUAAAAUAAAUAUUGAAUUGAUUCGCUAAUAUUGAAGUCAGAUAUCUUUAAUGUUCCAAGCGCUUCCAAUAAAUAAAGCCAAAAUAUUCGAAUAACUCCACGAUCCUGCGCGCGUGGAUCGCGCGCGUAGGUCGUAUUAAAAAAAUAGUACGAUCUCACAGGCUAGGCUUUCGGGGCUGGCUAAUCCAGCAAUAACGACGCAAUAGCGCUCGCAAACGAUCUCACAUCCGGCCGACUCUUUCCGCAUUGGAGAACUUAAUUGCACCGUGAGCAGAUCGAGAGAAAUGCUGGACGUGAACUCGUUCUGUGGUACUCGUGCGGAAUCGCGUAUUGUCUCCCGACCAGCCCUUCAAGCUCGCUUCGUCGCCCACACGCCUCGUCGGUGCGACACCCCGUACCAUCCGCCCCUCACAUGUGCGCCGUCCACGGUAACGAACCAUCUCGCCAUCACCAUCACCGACCAGCACCAGCACCAGCACCAGCACCAGCAAUGACCGGCUUUACCUCUCACGCGCGCGACAGUAACGUCGUUGUGUGAAAGCCGCUCCUGAUCAUUCGCGCGUGCUAUAUUAUUUUUACCUCGGCAACUAGAGCGGCGAAACACGUAGCGUUAUCAAACAACGGCUUUGUCUAACUUUAAUUGAAAAUAUUGGAAUAAAUUUUCCAAUAGACGUUGCCGAUGAAACCACCGCCACCGUCGCUACCGCCACCGCCGUCACCGCGAGCGCAUGGCCACCCACCCGACGUAGAGUGAAUGGAUGACUGAAUCGCGCGGGGAAGGAUAGAGAAUACCGGGGGAGAGAACGAGGGCCCCCGAUCAGCAUGGAAUACCGAGAGAUGGUGCAGCUAUUUUUCACGAACCCUUGGCUGGCCGAACAGCCGUCACGUCCGUCGGAGAUCUAACCCGUGGUAAUCUAGCUGAUGAUAAACGGUUGUUGUGCAAAAUACGUCAAUCCGACGCGAUGGCCACUUGUAUGGUGACAGAGACUCAUCGACGGAUUGCAGUGGGCGAAAUGACAGAUUGGAGAGCAGACCGGAAGCGAGUUCACCGCUCAUUUGCGUCAGGAUGAAGCCAUGCUCAACCCCGAUUUCUGCGCCUCCCCGUCUGUCUCUUCUUCCCUUCCAAACCCUCAUCCCUCGCGUGCCCCCGCCGUUAACCAGCCCCACUCGAUGCCUGGGGCCCGUCGCCGCCGACAGUCGCUUCUUCCCGGGGGCGGGACCAGGCAGAACCGGAAGUGCCCGGAUAUGAGUUUCCGGCGCGGACAAUUUGCAACGCGAAAUUGAAUGAUCGACUUCGAUAACCGUCCCAGGGCUGUUCCUACCCAGCAACCGGCUACGCGUAUUCCAGGACGGCGCCGUCGCCGUUAUGUUGAAAACGAAUCGUCGGGCCGCCUCGCCAUUACUGCGAUUCGUUAUCGUCAUUACCGGCAUCGACGGUGCGUGUGCCGGUCGCUACGGGGGAGGAAGAAAGAGAGCGUGUGGCCAACGGUAAUUGUUGCAGUCGCAGUGAAUGUCAACGCGGAGGUCUUCUUUUAAACUGGACCGGAUCAAGCAAUAAUAAUCGAAAAUAUACAAAGAUAAGUUUGUAAUAAUUAAUAAAAGAUUUUCCUGUGAAAUGUCUAAAUAUUUAUUUAGAUAUAUGUAAAUCUGAAAAUAAUUUUAUUGUCAAAACUUUUUGCAGUUUUGCUUUCAUUACACUAGAACGUCUUGCAUAAUUAUUUUGUUACCAAUAAAAUUAACUUUAAAUCUGUAUGUAGCUAAAUAUUUUCGAUACUUCAGCGUAAUUGUUCAUUUCGUCUCACUAGUAAUAAUAAAUACAUCAUAAAAAAACAAACGGACUACAAUAAUUAAUAGUACACACAGUUAGGUAUAGAAAUUCGGAAUAGAUUUAGACUCUCUAUCGUCAACUCUAUGUUCGAUUUCAACUCAUUCAAUCAAUUAAUUCUUGUUAAUUUCUGCCUAUAUUUCUCGAUAUUUAUAUCUACCAUCAAUUGAGCGCGAUUUUAUUAACAUUAUUGUUACCCGUGUUUAACGGGAUUAUAGUAAUAACGAUCAACCAUGUUACGCCUCGCAAACCGGUCAUGCUUCAGGCAAAGUCAACCUGCGUGUCAUCAACGGCGCGUCCACCAGCAUGAUACAAUCGAUAAUGGCGAUUAAUAAUACGGAUAUCGCGAUUAUAAUUAGCAGAAUCAUACGGGCAACGCAACAGGAGGGGGACUCGUCGUUUAGCGCGACAAUAAAUUUUCGCCGUUAUCCGCGUCGGCGAUUUGAUCGACGUAAAUUUCGUCGCAAUUAAACGCGCUGCGCGAAACCGCAUUUUGACCGAGGUGUCUCUAUAUAUUCAACAAUCGCUGCAUUGUUUUGUAAUAUUUCAGCUCGAGGCAGUCCAGAGCGGAACGCCAACGCAGACGGUAAUAGCUUGCUUUGAUAUACGUACAAACUGUGUAACACUUUUUUUCAACGUUGAAGCACCCACGAUUUCCGCGCGAUUAAAGUGACUGCGAUUUGCAUUCACAAAUGAUUUUUUACAAACUAGCUAAAUAAAAUAGAGAGAUGUUAAAAUAUUCCUUCUCUGCAAUAUUCCCUACAUGGAGGAAAAUAUUAUUCUCGUGCUCAGAAAAGCGAUUAUUCAAUUUUUACUUUUCUUCUUUUACAUAACGAUUAUCUUUGUAAAAAAUAUCUUGAUAACAGUCUGAAAAUA